UAGGAUAGAGUGUGUGGGGUAGCACGGAGAAAUUUGGAUUCUCAGGGGUAGGUUCGAUGCCUACAGUCCUAG
rnacentral:tRNA from 1 species